CUGCAGUGGAGUUUCUAAAUAGAGCAUAUUUGAAUGUUCUGUGUGCAUGUUACCUUUUCUAUAAGGUCAGCUUUUGGGAAACUCAGUAAUGUUCUUGAGCAUUCACUGAUUGCUUCACUUGAAUCCAAGGACACCCAGCAGUAAACAGCAGAGGACCCAGAGGAGAGCAAGCAAAGCUGAAUUAGGAGCAGUUUGAGCAUCUCCAGUUCCUGAAAGUUAUGGAUGCUCAAGACAUUCUGAAUUUAACUUAAUGAGAUUAGUCUUUUGCUUGAAUUCACUAAUCCGCAGUGACUACAAUAUAAAAUCUUGCAAUUCUGUUACAACAUACCACCUACUUGCUCUUUCUUGGCCUCACAAAUUGUUUCUCUGAGGGGCUGCUACGAAAGAAGAAUAUACUUUUAUACCAGGAACUACCAUUUAAGUUAUCUCCUUCCAUCCAUAAUGCUGUUUUACAGACUGAAAUAAGAAGAGCUGGUACUGUUAAAGGAGCUCUCUCAAUCCUUUUUACUGGUGUUUUCCUGGAAAAAAAAAGUCACAGUGUUUGUUUGUUUUACAGUAUAUUUUGUUUUAGUUUUACUUGUGUUCAGCAAAGAUUAUUGACACUGAAAAGUGAAAGCCUGAGAAGAAAUGGAGGAGCCCAGAAAAAAUACUGGAAAGAAAGAGAAAGAAGGAUUGAAAGAAAGUCAAGAGAGAAGUACGCUAAGAAGCUGAGCAGAGACUAUUUCUGAAAGAAUUUCCCUGUUUUUUCCUGCUAAAUGACGUUUUAAAUAAGAGGUACCUAGUUCUCAGAAAAAGAAGAACUACAUCUCCCAGAAGACUUCGCUGUUCCAUUUUCCAUAUAGAGGGAAAGAUAAAACUGCAAGCAAGUCACGAGACUGCCCCUUUUCUUUUACUGCUCAUCUCUGCGCUGUGUGCUCCCUAGCCAUCUCACCUUCAGCUUUAGAGCAAGGACUUCUGUUUCUCAGUUUUGAACCCUGUUGCUGUCUCAUUUAUUGGGUUUAUUAGCUUUAGCCCUGACUAACUUGUAUUUCUGCUACCCAUAUCAGUAUUUCUCUUUAGGAUUGGUACAGGAGUGCUUUUUAAAGAAAAUGUCCAACUUUUACUAGUUAUUGUGCUUUGGUCAGUAUGUCCAGAAUUGAAUUUCUUUAGGAUUAAACUAAAGAAAUUAAACUAGAAGAUAAAUUCUUGGGGUCUCCUCAGAGUAUGAAUCAGUGAGAAUCAUGAGAAAUAAUACCCACAGCUACUUUCUGAGUAGGGAGGCUACUUUCAGCUGCGUGCAGAAGGUCUUGUCAACUUCCUCAUCCUGGUCUGUAACCAACACCCCCGGUGAUGUUACCCACAUUUACCUGCCUCUUGAGCCUCACACACACGUGCCCCUCUAGGUCUUCAUUCAUCCCCAGGGAGAGCUCAAUACAUUCCUGUUCUCUCACUGAACUCCACCACUCUGUCUGUCUUUUCUAAAAAGAACAGAGCCAUCCACAAUAGCAUUCCAGUCAGGAAAGCUCCAUGAUGGUAUCCUUACUGCAAGAAAUCUCGCUGCAGU
ensembl:lncRNA